UUAAAUUGAAGAGUUUGAUCAUGGCUCAGAUUGAACGCUGGCGGCAGGCCUAACACAUGCAAGUCGAACGGUAACAGGAAGCAGCUUGCUGCUUCGCUGACGAGUGGCGGACGGGUGAGUAAUGUCUGGGAAACUGCCUGAUGGAGGGGGAUAACUACUGGAAACGGUAGC
rnacentral:rRNA from 1 species